AGUGAGUGUGUGUGCGUGUGUGUGUGUGUGUGUGUGUAGGGUAAAUUGUAUUGUUACCCUGAACUUUUUGCGAAGUUUUACUUUACCCCUCAAACUUCUAAAAUGGACAUCUAACCCCCUAAACUUUAAUAUUUCGUUCAUGUUACCCCUUCUGUUAGUUUUCCGUCAAGCCCCGUUAAUCGGAAACUGACGGAAGAGGUAAAACGAAUGAAAUAUUAGA
rnacentral:lncRNA from 1 species